rnacentral:tRNA from 1 species
CCCUGGUUAGCUCAGUUGGUAGAGCGCUCCACCAGUAAUGGAGAGGUCCCGGGUUCGAUGCCCGGACCAGACGGA